GAUGAACGCUGGCGGCGUGCCUAAUACAUGCAAGUCGAGCGAACAGACGAGGAGCUUGCUCCUCUGACGUUAGCGGCGGACGGGUGAGUAACACGUGGAUAACCUACCUAUAAGACUGGGAUAACUUCGGGAAACCGGAGCUAAUACCGGAUAAUAUAUUGAACCGCAUGGUUCAAUAGUGAAAGACGGUUUUGCUGUCACUUAUAGAUGGAUCCGCGCCGCAUUAGCUAGUUGGUAAGGUAACGGCUUACCAAGGCAACGAUGCGUAGCCGACCUGAGAGGGUGAUCGGCCAGCCUGGAAGUGAGACAGGGCCCAGACUCUUACGGGAGGCCGCAGUAGGGAAUCUUCCGCAAUGGGGGAAAGCCGGACGGAGCAACGCCGCGGGAGUGAUGAAGGUCUUCGGAUCGUAAAACUCUGUUAUUAGGGAAGAACAAAUGUGUAAGUAACUAUGCACGUCAUGACGGUACCUAAUCAGAAAGCCACGGCUAACUACGUG
rnacentral:rRNA from 1 species